UACGAAGGGGGCUAGCGUUGUUCGGAAUUACUGGGCGUAAAGGGCGCGUAGGCGGCGUGUCAAGUCAGGCGUGAAAGCCCCGGGCUCAACCUGGGAACCGCGCUUGAGACUGGCAUGCUCGGGUUCGGGAGAGGAUGGUGGAAUUCCCAGUGUAGAGGUGAAAUUCGUAGAUAUUGGGAAGAACACCGAUGGCGAAGGCAGCCAUCUGGACCGACACUGACGCUGAGGCGCGAAAGCGUGGGGAGCAAACAGG
rnacentral:rRNA from 1 species